rnacentral:rRNA from 1 species
UAGGGAAUCUUCCGCAAUGGACGAAAGUCUGACGGAGCAACGCCGCGUGAGUGAAGAAGGAUUUCGGUUCGUAAAACUCUGUUGUUAGGGAAGAAAAAAUGUAUAGUAACUAUAUACAAAAGAUACGGUACCUAACCAGAAAGCCACGGCUAACUACGUGCCAGCAGCCGCGGUAAUACGUAAGGGGCGAGCGUUGUCCGGAAUUAUUGGGCGUAAAGAGUGCGUAGGCGGCAAAUUAAGUCAGAUGUGAAAACUAAGGGCUCAACCCAUAGAUUGCAUCUGAAACUGAUAUGCUUGAGUCAAGGAGAGGAAAGUGGAAUUCCUAGUGUAGCGGUGGAAUGCGUAGAUAUUAGGAGGAAUACCGGUGGCGAAGGCGACUUUCUGGACUUGAACUGACGCUGAGGCACGAAAGCGUGGGGAGCAAACAGG